CCUACGGGAGGCUGCAGUGAGGAAUAUUGGUCAAUGGACGAGAGUCUGAACCAGCCAAGUAGCGUGAAGGAUGACUGCCCUAUGGGUUGUAAACUUCUUUUAUAUGGGAAUAAAAUGUUCCACGUGUGGGAUUUUGUAUGUACCAUAUGAAUAAGGAUCGGCUAACUCCGUGCCAGCAGCCGCGGUAAUACGGAGGAUCCGAGCGUUAUCCGGAUUUAUUGGGGUUAAAGGGGGCGUAGGUGGAUUGUUAAGUCAGUUGUGAAAGUUUGGGGCUCAACCGUAAAAUUGCAGUUGAAACUGGCAGUCUGGAGGACAGUAGAGGUGGGCGGAAGUCGUGGUGUAGCGGUGAAAUGCUUAGAUAUCACGAAGAACUCCGAUUGCGAAGGCAGCUCACUGGACUGCAACUGACACUGAGGCUCGAAAGUGUGGGUAUCAAACAGGAUUAGAUACCCCUGUAGUC
rnacentral:rRNA from 1 species